UGGGGAAUAUUGCACAAUGGGCGCAAGCCUGAUGCAGCCAUGCCGCGUGUGUGAAGAAGGCCUUCGGGUUGUAAAGCACUUUCAGCGAGGAGGAAGGUGGUGAACUUAAUACGUUCAUCAAUUGACGUUACUCGCAGAAGAAGCACCGGCUAACUCCGUGCCAGCAGCCGCGGUAAUACGGAGGGUGCAAGCGUUAAUCGGAAUUACUGGGCGUAAAGCGCACGCAGGCGGUUUGUUAAGUCAGAUGUGAAAUCCCCGGGCUCAACCUGGGAACUGCAUUUGAAACUGGCAAGCUAGAGUCUCGUAGAGGGGGGUAGAAUUCCAGGUGUAGCGGUGAAAUGCGUAGAGAUCUGGAGGAAUACCGGUGGCGAAGGCGGCCCCCUGGACGAAGACUGACGCUCAGGUGCGAAAGCGUGGGGCAGCGAACAGGAUUAGAUACCCUGGUAGUCCACGCUGUAAAACGAUGUCGAUUUUGGAGGUUGUGCCCCUUGAGGCGUGGCUUCCGGAGCUAACGCGUU
rnacentral:rRNA from 1 species